UAGGGAAUCUUCCGCAAUGGGCGAAAGCCUGACGGAGCAACGCCGCGUGAGUGAUGAAGGUCUUCGGAUCGUAAAACUCUGUUAUUAGGGAAGAAUAAAUGUGUAAGUAACUAUGCACGUCUUGACGGUACCUAAUCAGAAAGACACGGCUAACUACGUGCCAGCAGCCGCGGUAAUACGUAGGUGGCAAGCGUUAUCCGGAAUUAUUGGGCGUAAAGCGCGCGUAGGCGGUUUUUUAAGUCUGAUGUGAAAGCCCACGGCUCACCCGUGGAGGGUCCGUGGCAACUGGAAAACUAGAGUGCAGAAGAGGACAGUGGAAUUCCAUGUGUAGCGGUGAAAUGCGUAGAUAUAUGGAGGAACACCGGUGGCGAAAGCGGCUCUCUGGUAUGCAACUGACACUGAGGCUCGAAAGCGUGGGGAGCGAACAGG
rnacentral:rRNA from 1 species